UACGGGGGGGGCAAGCGUUGUUCGGAAUUACUGGGCGUAAAGGGGCUCGUAGGCGGCCAACUAAGUCGGAUGUGAAAUCCCCAGGCUUAACCUGGGAAUUGCAUCCGAUACUGGAUGGCUUGAAUCCGGGAGAGGGAUGCGGAAUUCCAGGUGUAGCGGUGAAAUGCGUAGAUAUCUGGAGGAACACCGGUGGCGAAGGCGGCAUCCUGGACCGGCAUUGACGCUGAGGAGCGAAAGCCAGGGGAGCAAACGGG
rnacentral:rRNA from 1 species